UUUUUCCCCUUCAAGCAAUAUCACAGACAACAUGCAUUCCUUUUCCUCCUCUACAUCAAUCAUGUGAAAAUCCCUAUAAACUAAUGAAUGUAUUUCCAAUGAUUUGUCAAUAAUCCAUUUCUAUAAAAGGGCACAUUCAUCAUUAGACACAUAGAAGUUGGAUAAACCCAACAACCUUCCAUCCAAAUUCAAAAAAAUUGAAACCCAUUUUUGAGAGUUGUUGGUGCCUCAUCCUAUAACUGACGGCAACAUUAGGAAAUAUGGAGACAUCGUCAGAGGCCUCGAGAAGAGUUAUCUUUUCUUUUUAACAUCUUGCCCACCCUGAAAUCGGCUCAACCGGAGAUAGGGUCCAACAGCUGGAAGAGCAUCGCAUGUCUUGCAGUGUCUGGUGCACCCUCAACAACCCUUGAAAAUAUGGAGGAUCGAGUACCGUCCAUGCCUAGUCAUACUCAUAACCUCAUUAGGUCUCCAAGGUGAACAACCUCUGGUCAAUAGAAUAAUGUAGGUAAGGGAAGUCGACAAAACAGAUCUGUAACUUCGAGAAAAGGAUUGGCUUUGAGGGCUAGGCCUAGGGGUCUGCAUCCUCAUCCCGUGGGUUGUUGGCAGUCUACCCGUGGGACUGUCAUUGAUUAAUUCUACCUCCUUUUGAAUGGUAGUGCAACUAAUUAAAGCUACCUCCUUUUGAAUGGUAGUGCAACUACUUCUUCUUUUAUCUUUUAGAAGUGCUUGGGGCAUUUAUCGAGGUGUAAUUUCCAACAGUCUUGGUGUGUCACUUUCUCUCACAAGACUUGUAAUACAUGGUGGGAGGUAUUGUUUCUUGCAUCAUUGCUACAAUCUUCUUCACAUCCCACUUCUUAUUCUUCCCAUAAAUGACACCUUGAACCACCACAAAUGACCUCUCGAAGGCAUCCUUUGCCAAUUAGGUAUAUAGGUAACACUAACAUUCUUGAGCACUAGGUAUGGGUCUCGGGGCCUUGAGAUGGUCAAGGGAGGAAACAUGAACUUUAGGCCUUACAGGAAGCUUUCAAUGAGCCAGGGUCAAUAAGGAUGCCUUGUAUAACCACACAAGGCCUUAUGAGAGUAUUCCAACCUAUGGUUGGGGAUGUCGAUGCCACUAGGUGUUUUUGAGUAGUAGGUAUGUGUCUCAAGGUCUUGGAAAUGAUAUAGGGAAGAAGGCCAUGCCUUAGG
rnacentral:ncRNA from 1 species